GAAAACUCAUCGGAGCUGGAAGUCGCAGCUAGCCACGAUCUAAUGAUAAGGACUUCUUCUUGGAAGGAAAAAGAAGAUGUUGGCGUUCAGAGUCCGAUUUUCAGUCAAGAGAUUGAGAAAAUCGGCAAGGUUCGUCUAGAGGAAUUCUGCACAAGAUUCAUGAAAGAAACUAGCUGAGAAUCUGGUCCGAAGGCAAAGAUUCGAGCCGAUUUUUAAGAAUGGAGGAGAGAGAAAAAAUUUUGGCGAGUCAUGUGUCAAACCAACUCAGUGAACCGCGACUGCAGAAUCCAACCCGCACGUGACACCUGCGACUAGACUUUGUAUGGGCACGUGGCGGCACGUGGGAGCGCGGACCUAAUUGGAGAAAAUCAGUAUUUUUGGACACCUUACGGGCAUGGAAAACGCUAGCGAAGGGGCACACGUCAACCAAGUAAGUCACCACCAGGUAUUUAGGAAGAGGAAGAAAUACUUGUAGGAUUCGUUUGAAUUGCAUGCAUGCUAGUACAUUUGGCUUAGAUUAGUUUUCCAUAAAUGAGAUUAGGCAGAUUGAUUGUUAUGAGCAUAUUUGGUGAAUUAUCUAGGUGUUGCUUGUAUGCUUUAAACUUCCG